rnacentral:siRNA from 1 species
CUAGCGGUUAGGACAUUGGA